UACGAAAGCAGUCACACACAGUAUGUUGUUUGUAUAGGACAAAUCACAUUUAUAUAUUCUAAGUGAAUUAUUUCGUACAGUGAUCUGAGAAAAUAAUUACCCUUACAGAUUUUAAUUAACUGAAACAGUCAGUCGCUGCACAAAUCUUGUUGGACGUAAUAUAUAUUACAUAUUUUUUUUUAAUAAAUAAAAACGAUCCGAACUAUUUAUUCGACUCGUAAAAAAGGAAAUAGAAGGAAUAUUGUCGAAAAGGAAUAGAAUAAAAUAAAUUAUAAUCGAACUUACAUCUGAUUAUUUUGGUUCCCUUUAAUGUAUAAAAUAUAAAUAAAUCGAUUAAAGAUACUAUAUUCUUCUACGCUACAUAUUCUUAGAAUGAUUUCGAAAGAAUUGGACUUUGACUGCUUGCAAAUAAUUUUUAGUUUUUUAAAUGAAGUAGAUCUACAAAAAGCUGCUGUGGUUUGUCGUUCUUGGUAUAAAGCAGCAAUCUAUGAACAAGCAACAAGAGGUCCUUUGUGUAUUAAAAGAAAAAAAAGGGAAACGGUACC